AACGCACAUUGCGCCCUUUGGUUUUCCAUGGGGCAUGCCUGUUCGAGCGUCAUUUAACCCUUCAAGCCCCGCUUGGUGUUGGGCGCUUGUCCCGCCCGCGUGCGUGGACUCGCCUUAAAACUAUCGGCGUCGACGUGCCGGCCUUGAGCGCAGCAGAAUAGUCGCUCCGGGGCAGGAUGCUGCGGCUUGCCGUAAAACGACCACUUAAUUCUUGACCUCGGAUCAGGUAGGGAUACCCGCUGAACUUAA
rnacentral:misc_RNA from 1 species